rnacentral:rRNA from 1 species
UACGUAGGGUGCAAGCGUUGUCCGGAAUUAUUGGGCGUAAAGAGCUCGUAGGCGGUUUGUUGCGUCGGCUGUGAAAUCCCGAGGCUCAACCUCGGGUCUGCAGUCGAUACGAGCAAACUAGAGUGUUGCAGGGGAGACUGGAAUUCCUGGUGUAGCGGUGAAAUGCGCAGAUAUCAGGAGGAACACCGGUGGCGAAGGCGGGGUCUCUGGGCAACAACUGA